rnacentral:rRNA from 1 species
UACGGAGGAUCCGAGCGUUAUCCGGAUUUAUUGGGUUAAAGGGUGCGUAGGCGGCCUAUUAAGUCAGGGGUGAAAGACGGUAGCUUAACUAUCGCAGUGCCUUUGAUACUGAUGGGCUUGAAUGUAGUUGAGGUAGGCGGAAUGUGACAAGUAGCGGUGAAAUGCAUAGAUAUGUCACAGAACACCAAUUGCGAAGGCAGCUUACUAAAGUAUGAUUGACGCUGAGGCACGAAAGCGUGGGGAUCAAACAGG